AUGUGGAGUCAAGCGGAUCACCGGCUUUGGGUCGAUAACCCGGGUCACUUGGCUUUGGUGGUGGCGCCUCAAGUUGGUGGAUACAAGUUCACUAAGGUACUCAUGGAUGGAGGUAGCAGCAUUAAUAUCCUUUAUUAUGAUACUUUCCAUCGCAUGGUGUUAACCAAUAAAAAUCUUAAGCCAUCCAAUACUGUUUUCCAUGGAGUGGUGCCUGGUAAGUCGGUGUACCCUGUACGCAAGAUUGAGCUGGAAGUGGCCUUUGGAGACGAGCACGAUUCCAGGGCCGAGAAGUUAACCUUUGAAGUGGUCAAGAUCAGAAGCCCGUACCACGCUCUAUUUGGCCGGCCGGCUUAUGCUAAGUUCAUAACACGACCUUGUGAUGUUUAUUUGCAGCUCAAGAUGCCGGGUUACAAGGGAACCAUCACGGUGCAUGGAAGCGGGAAAAUAGCUUUGGAGUGUGAAGAAGGUGAUGAUGCUUAUGCUGAGUCUGUCUGUGCAACGAGGAGUUGA
rnacentral:rRNA from 1 species